rnacentral:rRNA from 1 species
GUGAGGAAUAUUGGACAAUGGGCGAAAGCCUGAUCCAGCCAUGCCGCGUGAGUGAUGAAGGCCUUAGGGUUGUAAAGCUCUUUCAGUAGGGAAGAUAAUGACGGUACCUACAGAAGAAGCCCCGGCUAACUUCGUGCCAGCAGCCGCGGUAAUACGAAGGGGGCUAGCGUUGUUCGGAUUUACUGGGCGUAAAGCGCACGUAGGCGGAUUGGUCAGUUAGAGGUGAAAUCCUGGAGCUCAACUCCAGAACUGCCUUUAAUACUGCCAGUCUAGAGUCCAGAAGAGGUGAGUGGAACUCCGAGUGUAGAGGUGGAAUUCGUAGAUAUUAGGAAGAACACCAGUGGCGAAGGCGGCUCACUGGUCUGGUACUGACGCUGAGGUGCGAAAGCGUGGGGAGCAAACAGGAUUAGAAACCCGGGUAGUCC